AUUGAACGCUGGCGGCAGGCUUAACACAUGCAAGUCGAGCGGGGUGAUGGUGCUUGCACUAUCACUUAGCGGCGGACGGGUGAGUAAUGCUUAGGAAUCUGCCUAUUAGUGGGGACAACAUCUCGAAAGGGAUGCUAAUACCGCAUACGUCCUACGGGAGAAAGCAGGGGAUCACUUGUGACCUUGCGCUAAUAGAUGAGCCUAAGUCGGAUUAGCUAGUUGGUGGGGUAAAGGCCUACCAAGGCGACGAUCUGUAGCGGGUCUGAGAGGAUGAUCCGCAACACUGGGACUGAGAAACGGCCCAGACUCCUACGGGAGGUAGCAGUGGGGAAUAUUGGACAAUGGGGGGAACCCUGAUCCAGCCAUGCCGCGUGUGUGAAGAAGGCCUUAUGGUUGUAAAGCACUUUAAGCGAGGAGGAGGCUCUUUUGGUUAAUACCCAAGAUGAGUGGACGUUACUCGCAGAAUAAGCACCGGCUAACUCUGUGCCAGCCGCCGCCGUAA
rnacentral:rRNA from 1 species